UUUCUGUGACCUUUGCAUCAGUAACAGGCUCAUCCAGGACUAACAUUGAGUUGAAUGCAGACUCACUUUUCUGUUUGCUGUACACGGCCAUCCAGAUGGAGCGCUGCAUCCUAAUUACCAGAGCUGAAGGACAGAGGAUAUCUCCUCGCCUCCUUAGCUGGAAUAACUGGCCUGGUGUAUCUGGUCAAAUGAGAUUCCAGAGACAUGAAAAAAGAUUCAUACACAGUAAAUCAAAGCCGUAACCCUCGGAUUCAAACGCUAUUCGUCAGCAAUCAGCCGCCCUGCCAACCGAUCGGAUGAGACGAAAUCCACUGCAUACAGAUUUCAACAUCAGCUGCCAAACAUAAUGAUCCAAGCUAGAAUGGUCCUGAGG